rnacentral:lncRNA from 1 species
AUCACAGUUUUUAAAUUUCAUUUUUUCUUGUUAAUUAGUUAUUAAUUAGACAUUCAUGAAGAUUUUCAUACAAAAUCUAUCAGAUAACGUUAUAGUCGGAAAGAAUCUUUACAACAAAGUUCUCUGUACACUCUUUGAAAGGUGCAUGCUUCUGUCAUUCCCUAAAAUGGAUGGAGACCAAUCUUUUUGUCAUUGGCGGGAAAUACUCGUUUGGAGAAAUUUCAUUAUUUUGCAUCAUUAUCCUCAGUUUAGACUAAACAAAUAAAACUCAGCUAAAGCGACCACUUCCUAACAUCUUCAGUCUUCACAAUAUUAACCACUCAUUUUCUGAUCAAAUUAUCAGUUCCUUAAAAUUUCACACCUACAACCAUUCACAUUUUUGACACCUCUAGGGAAAGUUUCAUAAAAG